GAUCUAGGCUUUCUAAUUAAACAUGCUUUGAAUCCAAGACUUCUAACAACUAAUUAGGUAUAAAACAAUACAAAAUCAGAUCUAGAAGUUUACCUUUGAAUCUCUUGUUUUGAUCUUGUUGUCUUGGAGCUCUAGAGUCACAAUUGUCACUCCUCUAAUGGCUUACAAACACCAAAUAGCAAAGAAGAUGAUUUGAGAGAGAGGGGGUAGGAGGAAAUCGGCCAGGGGUUCUCUACUUUAGAUGAGAUGCCGAUUUCCCUUGGCCAUAGGGUCUAUUUAUACUUGUAGACUCCUUAAGGGUUUCACCUUAAACCCUAAUUGGAUAAUCUUUCCUUAAAGCAAUCCAAAUCCUUACCAUAGAUAAGCCUUGGACGAUUUGGAGCUAUCCCAAGCUCUAGAAUCCGUCCAAUCCCUAUCCCUUAAGGAUUUACAGUCUAAAGUGUAACUAUCAAACAAUUGACAGUUUAUACCCUCUUAUUUAAUUAAUCUCUUUAAGUCACCAAAUUAAUACUAAUUAAUUUAUGACUUAUAUUAAUCAAAUAACAAUAUUAUUAUUCCUUAUAUUAUUCUCAUAAUAUAUUAAUAAUAUUUAUUCUCUCAUAAUAAAUCAUCCUAUCAAGUUGCUAUGGUGAAGGCAACCCAAAAGGACCAUGCACAAUCGGGUCAAAUACUUGCCUAAUAUAGUUGCAGCCUUAGACACUAUUCCAACAGUCUCCCACUUGGAUAAGUCUAGUAACUAUAUGCACAAGUACAAUUCGAUUUGCAAUCGUAGCUCUCAAAGACGCUGUCAAACUCUGAUCUAAUCAAUCUUGUCCUUUAGAUAAGGGAUCGUACAGUCCUCUGUUAGAUAUCAUGCUGACAAUUCUAUGGAAUGAUUAGUCAAGCAUUUAGGUUUCUCGAUCUCUGAUUUAUUUGACAUAGAACUUAAUCGAACACAUCAAUUCAGUUCUGACCGGGCCCGGCACAUAAGUCAAAUCAAAUCAUCGAGCGGCCGAGAUAUCGCUUUUACCUUCUUAGGAUAAAAGUUACAGAUAAACUUCGACUUAUAUGCAUUUACUUAUUCAUUAAUCAACUAUACACAACAAUGCGUUUUAUAACACCGAGUUACUGAUGCGUUUUCGCAUUAUCAAUGUACAAUCAAUUAACAAAUAACAAACCAUAUAUCUAGGUUUUAAGACUAUAUGAUAUUAUCGUCUUGCGAUCACCCUUUUAUAUCAUAUUCCAUAAGGUGAUUCCAGCAAGCGCGGGUUUGUUCCAAUGCUCAAAACUAGUUCAUAAGCACUCAUGAACGUUGCAGCAAUCCUUUGCUAUGUCUAACACCAUUUAGACAAUCUACACACCAAUUCAUGACAAUCUUCAUUCAUAUCUACUUCCAACAUAUGAACGAUUGUGGACAAUUUGAAUAAUUCGAUUAUUCUUAAUAAACUCAAUUAUUCUGGAAGUCAAAACAUGCAAAGUGAAACAAUAGUUAAACAAUUAACAUAAGACAGUAACAUUACUCAUAAAUAAAACUCCUUUAUUUAAUCAUCAAAUGUUAAUUACAUUUAUCUAUUACACGUUUCUAAUACUAUCUAAUCUAUGCUAAUAUCAUCCUUCAGCCCAAUACUCCUAGCAUGCUGCAAGUGCUUAACCCUACUCAGUCCCUUCGUAAGCGGAUCUGCUGGGUUAUCUUCUGAUGAUAUCCUCUUCACUACGAGUUGUCCUUCUUCUACACGAUGUCUAAUGAAGUGAUACUUUCUGUCGAUAUGUCUUGAUCUACCAUGAUCCCUCGGUUCCUUGGUCAAGGCAACCGCUCCUUCGUUAUCACAGAAAAUCUCCAUGGGCUCCUUUAUGGCAGGUACAACUCCAAGAUCACCGAUGAAGUUCUUUAGCCAUAUUGCCUCCUUCGACGCUUCGCUCGCUGCAAUGUACUCUGAUUCGCACGUUGAAUCAGCUACGGUCUCCUGCUUGGAACUCUUCCAUGUCACUGCUCCUCCAUUUAGGGUAAAGACCCAGCCCGACUGCGAACGGUAGUUGUCCCUGUCGGUCUGAAAACUGGCGUCACUAUACCCUCGCACCUUCAAGUCAUCACUCCCUCCGAGGACUAAGAACCAUUCCUUCGUCCUCCGAAGGUACUUAAGGAUAUUCUUCACCGCAAUCCAAUGUGCUCUGCCAGGAUUCCCUUGAUAUCUGCUAACCAUGCUCAAAGCGAAGGCUACAUCAGGGCGAGUACAAGUCAUAGCGUACAUGAUUGAGCCAACUGCGGAAGCGUAUGGUACUCGGCUCAUUUCUGCUAUCUCAGCUUCGGUACUCGGACUUUGAGUCUUACUCAAUUUGGCAUUACUUUGUAUCGGUAGUUCUCCCUUCUUUGAGUUUUCCAUACUAAAACGUUUUAGUACCUUCUCUAAGUAAGUAUUCUGACUAAGUCCAAUUAGUCUCUUACUUCUUUCUCUUACUAUCCUUAUUCCCAAAAUGUAAGAAGCCUCUCCGAGGUCCUUCAUAGCGAAGCACUUCCCGAGCCAGGACUUAACCUCCUGCAGAGUCGGGAUGUCGUUUCCUAUGAGUAAUAUGUCAUCGACAUAUAGAACGAGGAAGCUUACUAUACUCCCACUGGCUUUGACAUAUACACAUGAUUCAUCUUCGCUUCGUACAAAUCCAAACUCUUUGACUUUCUCAUCGAAGCAAAGAUUCCAUCUGCGAGACGCUUGCUUAAGUCCAUAAAUGGACUUCUCAAGCUUACACACUCUAUUCAUAUGCUUUGGAUCCACAAACCCCUCUGGCUGAGCCAUGUAAACAUCCUCAGCCAACUUUCCGUUAAGGAAAGCGGUCCUGACUUCCAUUUGCCAAAUCUCAUAAUCAAUAAAUGCGGCAAUUGCUAGCAUCACUCUAAUAGAUUUAAUCUUCGCAACUGGUGAGAAGGUCUCAUCAUAGUCAACUCCGGGAGUUUGAGUAAAGCCCUUCGCAACCAAUCGCGCUUUAUAUGUGUGUACGUUUCCAUCCACGUCGGUCUUCUUCUUGAAGAUCCAUUUGCACCCAACGGUCUUACGUCCGGGCACAUAAUCAACCAAAUUCCAAACUUGGUUAUCAUACAUGGAUUGGAUCUCGCUAUCCAUUGCCUCUUUCCAUUUUGCAGACUCCGGGCCUGCCAUGGCUUCCUUAUAGCUAUUAGGUUCAUCAAGGUUUAUUAGUGUACCAUCACUAAUAUACGUGUCCCCUUCGGUAGUAAUAUGAAAACCAUAAAACUGGGGUAGAACUCUAACUCUAUCGGAACGUCUAAGAGGUAAGGAUUCGUCAAUCGGUUCAACCGGAGUUUCCUCCUCGGGUUGAGUGCCAGCGGUAGAGGUUCCUUCAUCUAUCGACUCUUGAAUCUCUUCAAGCUCGAUUUGCCUCCCACUGUCUCCUUGGCUUAUGAGUUCUCGCUCUCGGAAAACUCCUCUCCUCGCAACGAAGACAACAUUGUCCUUCGGUCUAUAGAAGAGAUAUCCAAAGGAUGUCUGCGGGUAGCCGAUGAAAAUACAUCGCUCACUUCGAGGUUCAAGCUUGUCGUGAGUAUCUCGUCUUACGAAAGCCUCGCAACCCCAAACCUUGAUAUGUGCCAACGAGGGAGCUUUCCCUGUCCACAUCUCGUGAGGUGUUUUGGCAACCUUCUUAGUAGGGACUCGGUUAAGGAUAUGGGCGGCAGUCUCUAAGGCAUACCCCCAAAAAGAGAUUGAUAGUGAAGCACGACUCAUCAUAGAGCGAACCAUAUCCAAUAAGGUUCGAUUACGCCUUUCUGCCACACCAUUCAACUGCGGUGUCCUAGGAGGCGUCAAUUGUGAAACUAUUCCACACUCCUUGAGAUAAUCGUGGAAUUCAAGACUUAGGUACUCUCCUCCUCGAUCGGAUCGAAGCAUCUUGAUUUUCCUGCCCAAUUGAUUCUCCACUUCAUUCUUGAACUCUUUGAACUUUUCAAAAGUUUCUGACUUUUGCUUGAUUAAAUAGAUAUACCCAUAUCUACUAUAGUCAUCGGUAAAAGUCACGUAGAAGCGGUUCCCAUCCUUCGUGGUUGAUCUAAACGGUCCACAUACAUCGGUAUGUAUUAGGUCCAAUAGACCCUCACCCCUUUCACACGUACUCGUGAAGGGUGACUUAGUCAUCUUUCCAAGUAAACAAGACUCGCACGUGUCAUCUUCCCUAAGGUCGAAUGACUCCAACACUCCAUCCUUUUGGAGUUGGGCUAUGCGCUUCUUGUUGACAUGUCCAAGACGACAAUGCCACAAGGAUGCUCUAUCCAUACUGUUGGAAGAAUCUAUGUUUAAAACAUCAUUUCCUAAGUUAUCAACUCUCAUAACAGUUUCAUAAAUUCCAUUACAUGGUAUAGCUUCAAAAUAAAAGACACCAUUUAGAUAAGCUAAAAUAGAACCAUUCUCAUUAUUAUAAGAAAAUCUUAAACCUUGUGUAAACAAACCAUGAAAUGAAAUGAUGUUUCUAGCCAUUUCUGGCGAAUAGCAACAAUUGUUCAAAUCUAAACUUAAACCAUUCCUAAGUACUAAAGAAUACACUCCAAUCUUGGUCAUUGGCGUCGAUCUUCUGUUCCCCAUGAUUAGAUUUAUUCUUCCAGCCUGCACAUCCCUACUUCUUUUUAGUCCCUACACAUUAGAACAAAUGUGGUAACCACAACCGGUAUCAAGAACCCAAGAAAUAGCAUGAGAUGAUUCGUUAGAUUUAAUUGUGUAUAUACCUGCGAAAGAUGGCUUGAUCUUUCCUUCCUUGAUGGCUUGCAGGUACUCUGGGCAGCUUCUCUUCCAAUGUCCUAUCUUGUGGCAGUGGUGGCACUCUGCCUCCUUAGGGUUAGGGCAGGGCUUAGCGGGAUCAACUUUGGUCCCACUAGAAGAGGCACCAUCUCGGGCUUUAACCUUGCGAUAGUUCUUAGACGAAGCCUUCCUCUUCUUUCCCUUUCCUUGACCAAUAGCCAAGACAGGAGCAGCGGGUGGAUUGGGAGUUGGUGCAACAGACUUGUCUUUGAAGUUGCUCUCAGCGACCCUCAAGAGACCUUGGAGUUUGCUUAGGGUGACCUCCUCUUUGUUCAUGUGGUAGGUCAUCCUAAAUUGAUUGUACAUCGGAGGCAAAGAGUGAAGCACCAUGUCGAUCGCCAAGUCUUCCCCAAAGUCAACAUUUAACUUGCGAAGGCGGUCGACAUACCUUUGCAUCUUUUGCAGGUGCACGGUAAGAGAUUCUCCAUGACCCAUCUUAGCGGAAAUCAUGUUAGUGAAAAUCUCAUAACGCUCUUGUCUCGCGUUUUGGUGGUAUCUCUCCAAUAAGUCUUGAUGCAUCUCGUACGGGUACAUGUCCUCGUAGGACUUUUGGAAUUCGGAGUUCAUGGUGGCUAUCAUGAUGCAAUGUACCUUCGUUGCAUCGCGCUCAUGAGUUUCAAAAGCGGUCAUUUCAGCCGGAGUAGCGAUUUCAGGGUUGAUUUUCUCGAGCUUCUCAUCGAGGACAUACUCCUUAUCCUCAUAGCGAGCAAUGGUGCGAAUGUAUCUUAUCCAUUCGCUAAAGUUCGUUCCAUCGAAGGUGACCUUUUGGCAAAGGCUCAUCAACGUGAAAGAACUAGCAGCAGCGUUGUUUGCGUUCGACAUCUACAAUUAAAAAAGGACAAAGAUAGAUUAGAAUAAGAAUCCCUAAUUAUCACCCAAUAAGAAAAAUUAGGGCUAGGAUCCAACAAUAACAUUUACAUAUUAGAAAAGGGAUGCCGUAAUCUAACAUGCAAAUAAAUUGAAGGUAAGUGAAUGACGAUUCACUAAUUCUCCACCAUAAAAACCUAACUAUAAGUCCUAAAUGUAUUGAGAAUUCCUAGGUUCGGAUGAGAUUCAUUGAAACUAUUCAAUGGCAUGUUUAAAUCUCGAUAUGCCCCUCUUGUUUGUGACUGGGAUACCGAGGAUCACAAAGCGGGUGUGAAUUACCAUGCAAAUUCACAUGGUGCCUUCAUUGUAACGAUCACCUAUUCGAUGUGCCGGUAAACCACACACGCUCCAUCGAACUAUGAUAAACAAUGAAUCACCCUUUGCCACCUUUGCUUAGAACCAAUUAGUGUGCCGGUAAACCACACACGCUCCACUAACUUCUUAGCAAGGGUGCAAAGUGUAAUUUCAUGGGAUUGCAUCAAUUCACUUUUCCUAAAGUAACUAAGAUUGGGAAAUUUUUAAAAAAUAUGUAGUUACUUUGUAUUUCAUAUUAUACUUUUAAUGAGAGGAUGAGGUUGCCCUAUCCUACCCGUUCGGCUAACGACCCUCCACCGAUCAAGCAAGCGGUGGGUGUGAGUGUACACCCAUUAAGCGCCAUUUUAUAGGCCGCAACCUUAUACCCACCUUAUAGAUCGGCUUCGUGAAUGAGGCCUACUAACGGUAAGACUAGCAUUUAGUUAUAUAUAUAUAUAUAUUAAUCUUGUAAUAUUAUAUUAGUAUAGGGUUGUAUUUUAAACCUUUAAAAAUCUAGGGUUUGAAAUUUAAAUUGUCUAAAUUAAAACUUUUAAUCACAAAACAUAAAUUUCAAAACUUGAGGACAAGUUUUAAACAUUUAAAACAUGGAGGAUCAAAUAACAAAUAAUUUUAAUUAACAAUUAAUUCCAUAAUUAUCCAUAUUUGAUUUAUUUAAUUAUUUCUUGCAAGAUAAUUACCAAUUUAAUCAAAAUAAUUAAUUAAUUAUCACAUAAGGAAAUUAAAUAUUUUAUUAGUUGAUAAAUAUCUUUAAUUAGAUCAAGAUUAUAGUCAUAUAUAUCAAAAAAUCGGAUUAGGGUUGAUCUAAUAUGAUAAAGGUAAGUUUCCAUAAGAUAAGUAUGAAAAAAAUCCCAAAUCUGGCCCUUCCUGACGCUCCUACUCGUCGAGUUCCCAACUGGACUCGUCGAGUCAGGCCAACUCGUCGAGUCCACCAUGGGACUCGUCAAGUUCAUGACACAGAGACACAAAAUUCGAAUUUUGCAAACAAGAUUCAAACAAACAAGCAACAAUUUAAUAGAAACCAAUCUAGGCUCUGAUACCACUGAUGGGUUUUAGCCAUAAGAACUUUCCUAUGUGCGCAUGCAAAACCCUAAUGCUUGGAUCUAGGUUUUCUAAUUAAACAUGCUUUGAAUCCAAGACUUCUAAUGACUAAUUAGGUAUAAAAAAAUACAAAAUCAGAUCUAGAAGUUUACCUUUGAAUCUCUUGUUUUGAUCUUGUUGUCUUGGAGCUCUAGAGUCACAAUUGUCACUCCUCUAAUGGCUUACAAACACCAAAUAACAAAGAAGAUGAUUUGAGAGAGAGGGGGUUGGAGGAAAUCGGCCAGGGGUUCUCUACUUUAGAUGAGAUGCCGAUUUCCCUUGGCCAUAGGGUCUAUUUAUACUUGUAGACUCCUUAAGGGUUUCACCUUAAACCCUAAUUGGAUAAUCUUUCCUUAAAGCAAUCCAAAUCCUUACCAUAGAUAAGCCUUGGACGAUUUGAGCUAUCCCAAGCUCUAGAAUCCGUCCAAUCCCUAUCCCUUAAGGAUUUACAGUCUAAAGUGUAACUAUCAAACAAUUGACAGUUUAUACCCUCUUAUUUAAUUAAUCUCUUUAAGUCACCAAAUUAAUUCUAAUUAAUUCUAUGACUUAUAUUAAUCAAAUAACAAUAUUAUUAUUCCUUAUAUUAUUCUCAUAAUAUAUUAAU
rnacentral:lncRNA from 1 species